GACGAACGCUGGCGGCGUGCUUAACACAUGCAAGUCGAACGGAAAGGCCCUGCUUUUGUGGGGUGCUCGAGUGGCGAACGGGUGAGUAACACGUGAGUAACCUGCCCUUGACUUUGGGAUAACUUCAGGAAACUGGGGCUAAUACCGGAUAGGAGCUCCUGCUGCAUGGUGGGGGUUGGAAAGUUUCGGCGGUUGGGGAUGGACUCGCGGCUUAUCAGCUUGUUGGUGGGGUAGUGGCUUACCAAGGGUUUGACGGGUAGCCGGCCUGAGAGGGUGACCGGCCACAUUGGGACUGAGAUACGGCCCAGACUCCUACGGGAGGCAGCAGUGGGGAAUAUUGCACAAUGGGCGGAAGCCUGAUGCAGCAACGCCGCGUGCGGGAUGACGGCCUUCGGGUUGUAAACCGCUUUCGCCUGAGACGAAGCGUGAGUGGCGGUAAUGGGUAAAGAAGCACCGGCUAACUACGUG
rnacentral:rRNA from 1 species